AUGGGAGGAAACAACAAUCAAAGGAAGUCAAAGUCAUCAUGGUCUGUUUUCAACAUUUUCAAAUCUAGUAGCAACAAGCAAAGAGGAGGAGGAGGAUACUAUGAUCAUGGUGCUUAUGAUAACAAAGUGUGGCCAAGUGAUGAAGACAGAGGUAGUUGGGGUGUGGCUGAUCCUGUCAUUGACAUGAAAGCUACAGCUUUCAUUGCUCAAUACAAGAAACGAAUUUCUGAAUCUGAAAUUCAUUGGCAAGCUCAACCUGAGCAGUAG
rnacentral:lncRNA from 1 species